rnacentral:misc_RNA from 1 species
UAUAUUCAAGUUUUAUUUUCUAAUAUCGAUUAGUAACUUAUUUAACAAUUAAUUAUAGAUCCGUUGCUAUUAACAACCGAUUGAGCAAUUUAUUCUUGAAUUGGUUGCUAAAUUUAAAAAAAAAUAACUAUUUUACUAAAAAAAAAUUAAAAUCUUAAAUUGAUUGUUAAUAACAAUCAAUUUCAGUUAGUUACAAAAGUAAUUAUUUUUUUUAGUGAUAUUGUAACUUUUUAUAUUUUUAAGGGCAUUCAAUUUUG